GAUGAACGCUGACAGAAUGCUUAACACAUGCAAGUCUUUGGCGAAGCUGUGCUAGCACAGCCUAGCCAAGGCGGACGGGUGAGUAACGCGUAAGGAACUUGCCCUGCAGUCAGGGAUAACAGACGGAAACGACUGAUAAGACCUGGUAAAGUCAGGCGGACUCAUGUCCAGCCUGAUGAAAAGAGAUGCUGCAGGAGAGCCUUGCGUCCUAUUAGCUUGUUGGUGGGGUAACGGCCCACCAAGGCGAUGAUAGGUAGCCGGCCUGAGAGGGUGGACGGCCACAAGGGGACUGAGAUACGGCCCUUACUCCUACGGGAGGCAGCAGUGGGGAAUAUUGGACAAUGGGGGCAACCCUGAUCCAGCAAUUCUGUGUGUACGAUGAAGGUUUUCGGAUUGUAAAGUGCUUUCAGCAGGGAAGAAAAAAAUGACGGUACCUGCAGAAGAAGCGACGGCUAAAUACGUG
rnacentral:rRNA from 1 species